rnacentral:lncRNA from 1 species
CAGCUUUACACAUGGAUGCCACUGGGAAGAAAGCACAUCAAGUAACCCUGCUGAGGAAUGAAUGAAUCAGCCUAAUGCAAAUUAGCCACAAGCCAACGAACGCCUGGAGCCACUAGAAGCUGAAAGAAGCAAGGAAGAAUUCCCUCCUAGAGCCUUCAGUGGAAGUGUGGCCCUGUUGACACCUGGAGUUCGGAUUUCUGCCCUUUGGAACUGUGAGAAGAUAAAUUUCAGUUGUUG